AACGCGAAGAACCUUACCUGGGUUUGACAUCCCCUGACAACCGUAGAGAUACGGCUUCUGUAGUAAUACAGCAGGGAGACAGGUGCUGCAUGGCUGUCGUCAGCUCGUGUGGUGACAUGUUGGGUUAAGUCCCGCAACGAGCGCAACCCUUGUUCUUAGUUGCCAGCAUUCAGUUGGGCACUCUAAGGAGACUGCCGUGGUUAACACGGAGGAAGGUGGGGAUGACGUCAAGUCCUCAUGGCCUUUAUAUCCAGGGCGACACACGUGAUACAAUGGACGGUACAGAGGGAUGCCAAGUGGUAACACGGAGCUAAUCUCAAAAAGCCGUUCUCAGUUCGGAUUGGAGUCUGCAACUCGACUCCAUGAAGUUGGAAUCGCUAGUAAUCGCGGAUCAGCACGCCGCGGUGAAUACGUUCCCGGGCCUUGUACACACCGCGAGC
rnacentral:rRNA from 1 species